GGUGGCUUUAAAAGAAGUAUGAGCUCCGAAGUUAAGCGUGCUUGGGCGAGAGUAGUACUAGGAUGGGUGACCCCCUGGAGAGUCCUCGUGUUGCAUCCU
rnacentral:rRNA from 1 species